GAUCCAAACCAUGGUGAACUGUGCCUGGGCAGGGUGAAGCCAGAGGAAACUGGUGGAGGUCCAUAGCAGUCCUGAUGUGCCCUUCCUGGGUAUAGGGGCGAAAGACUAAUUGAACCCAGUAGUUGG
rnacentral:ncRNA from 1 species